rnacentral:rRNA from 1 species
AUUGAACGCUGGCGGCAGGCCUAACACAUGCAAGUCGAGCGAGCGGCGGACGGGUGAGUAAUGUCUGGGAAACUGCCUGAUGGAGGGGGAUAACUACUGGAAACGGUAGCUAAUACCGCAUACCAUCAGAUGUGCCCAGAUGGGAUUAGCUAGUAGGUGGGGUAACGGCUCACCUAGGCGACGAUCACUAGCUGGUCUGAGAGGAUGACCAGCCACACGGGAGCUGAGACACGGUCCAGACUCCUACGGGAGGCAGCAGUGGGGAAUAGUGCACAAUGGGCGAAAGCCUGAUGCGACCAUGCCGCGUGGGUGAAGAGGGCCUUCGGGUUGUAAAGCACUUUCAGCGGGGAGGCGUUACCCGCAGAAGAAGCACCGGCUAACUCCGUGCCAGCCGCCGCGGUAAGAC